rnacentral:rRNA from 1 species
UACGGAGGGUGCAAGCGUUAAUCGGAAUUACUGGGCGUAAAGCGCACGUAGGCGGCUUUGCAAGUCCCAUGUGAAAUCCCACGGCUCAACCGUGGAAGUGCAUGGGAAACUGCAGAGCUUGAGUACUUAAGAGGAUCGCGGAAUUCCCGGUGUAGAGGUGAAAUUCGUAGAUAUCGGGAGGAACACCAGUGGCGAAGGCGGCGAUCUGGGAAGAUACUGACGCUGAGGUGCGAAAGCGUGGGGAGCAAACAGG